GGGUUGUGAGGUUAAGCGACUAAGCGUACACGGUGGAUGCCCUGGCAGUCAGAGGCGAUGAAGGGCGUGCUAAUCUGCGAUAAGCGCCGGUAAGGUGAUAUGAACCGUUAUAACCGGCGAUACCCGAAUGGGGAAACCCAGUGUGAUUCGUCACACUAUCAUUACGUGAAUACAUAGCGUAAUGAAGCGAACCGGGGGAACUGAAACAUCUAAGUACCCCGAGGAAAAGAAAUCAACCGAGAUUCCCCCAGUAGCGGCGAGCGAACGGGGAGGAGCCCAGAGCCUGAAUCAGCAUGUGUGUUAGUGGAAGCGUCUGGAAAGGCGCGCGAUACAGGGUGACAGCCCCGUACACAAAAGCGCAUGUGUUGUGAGCUCGAUGAGUAGGGCGGGACACGUGGUAUCCUGUCUGAAUAUGGGGGGACCAUCCUCCAAGGCUAAAUACUCCUGACUGACCGAUAGUGAACCAGUACCGUGAGGGAAAGGCGAAAAGAACCCCGGCGAGGGGAGUGAAAAAGAACCUGAAACCGUGUACGUACAAGCAGUGGGAGCACCCUUUGGGGUGUGACUGCGUACCUUUUGUAUAAUGGGUCAGCGACUUAUAUUCUGUAGCAAGGUUAACCGAAUAGGGGAGCCGGAGGGAAACCGAGUCUUAAUUGGGCGUUAAGUUGCAGGGUAUAGACCCGAAACCCGGUGAUCUAGCCAUGGGCAGGUUGAAGGUUGGGUAACACUAACUGGAGGACCGAACCGACUAAUGUUGAAAAAUUAGCGGAUGACCUGUGGCUGGGGGUGAAAGGCCAAUCAAACCGGGAGAUAGCUGGUUCUCCCCGAAAGCUAUUUAGGUAGCGCCUCGUGAACUCAUCUCCGGGGGUAGAGCACUGUUUCGGCUAGGGGGCCAUCCCGGCUUACCAACCCGAUGCAAACUGCGAAUACCGGAGAAUGUUAUCACGGGAGACACACGGCGGGUGCUAACGUCCGUCGUGAAGAGGGAAACAACCCAGACCGCCAGCUAAGGUCCCAAAGUCAU
rnacentral:rRNA from 1 species